rnacentral:rRNA from 1 species
AUGAACGCUGGCGGCGUGCCUAAUACAUGCAAGUCGAGCGAACGGACGAGAAGCUUGCUUCUCUGAUGUUAGCGGCGGACGGGUGAGUAACACGUGGAUAACCUACCUAUAAGACUGGGAUAACUUCGGGAAACCGGAGCUAAUACCGGAUGAUAUUUUGAACCGCAUGGUUCAAAAGUGAAAGACGGUCUUGCUGUCACUUAUAGAUGGAUCCGCGCUGCAUUAGCUAGUUGGUAAGGUAACGGCUUACCAAGGCAACGAUGCAUAGCCGACCUGAGAGGGUGAUCGGCCACUCUGGAACUGAGACACGGUCCAGACUCCUACGGGAGGCAGCAGUAGGGAGUCUUCCGCAAUGGGCGAAAGCCUGACGGAGCAACGCCGCGUGAGUGAUGAAGGUCUUCGUAUCGUAAAACUCUGUUAUUAGGGAUGAACAUAUGUGUAAGUAACUGUGCACAUCUUGACGGUACCUAAUCAGAAAGCCACGGCUAACUACGUG